AGUGAACGCUGGCGGUAGGCCUAACACAUGCAAGUCGAACGGCAGCACAGUAAGAGCUUGCUCUUACGGGUGGCGAGUGGCGGACGGGUGAGGAAUACAUCGGAAUCUACUUUUUCGUGGGGGAUAACGUAGGGAAACUUACGCUAAUACCGCAUACGACCUACGGGUGAAAGCAGGGGAUCUUCGGACCUUGCGCGAUUGAAUGAGCCGAUGUCGGAUUGGCUAGUUGGCGGGGUAAAGGCCCACCAAGGCGACGAUCCGUAGCUGGUCUGAGAGGUUGAUCAGCCACACUGGAACUGAGACACGGUCCAGACUCCUACGGGAGGCAGCAGUGGGGAAUAUUGGACAAUGGGCGCAAGCCUGAUCCAGCCAUACCGCGUGGGUGAAGAAGGCCUUCGGGUUGUAAAGCCCUUUUGUUGGGAAAGAAAAGCAGCAGGUUAAUACCCCGCUGUUCUGACGGUACCCAAAGAAUAAGCACCGGCUAACUUCGUG
rnacentral:rRNA from 1 species